rnacentral:rRNA from 1 species
GACGAACGCUGGCGGCGUGCCUAAUACAUGCAAGUAGAACGCUGAAGGAGGAGCUUACUUCUCUGGAUGAGUUGCGAACGGGUGAGUAACGCGUAGGUAACCUGCCUGGUAGCGGGGGAUAACUAUUGGAAACGAUAGCUAAUACCGCAUAAGAGUAGAUGUUGCAUGACAUUUACUUAAAAGGUGCAAUUGCACCACUACCAGAUGGACCUGCGUUGUAUUAGCUAGUUGGUGGGGUAACGGCUUACCAAGGCGACGAUACAUAGCCGACCUGAGGGGGUGAUCGGCCAAGCUUGGACUGAGACACGGCCCAGACUCCUACGGGAGGCAGCAGUAGGGAAUCUUCGGCAAUGGACGGAAGUCUGACCGAGCAACGCCGCGUGAGUGAAGAAGGUUUUCGGAUCGUAAAGCUCUGUUGUAAGAGAAGAACGAGUGUGAGAGUGGAAAGUUCACACUGUGGCGGUAUCUUACCAGAAAGGGACGGCUAACUACGUGCCAGCCGCCGCAGUAA